rnacentral:siRNA from 1 species
AGAGUAUAGUUGGUGUGAUCUCU